UCAAAGAUUAANCCAUGCAUGUCUAAGUAUAAGCAAUCUAUACAGUGAAACUGCGAAUGGCUCAUUAAAUCAGUUAUCGUUUAUUUGAUAGUACCUUUGCUACUUGGAUAACCGUGGUAAUUCUAGAGCUAAUACAUGCUAAAAAUCCCAACCCCUGGAAGGGAUGUAUUUAUUAGAUAAAAAACCAAUGGCUUCGGCCUCCCUGGUGAUUCAUGAUAACUUAACGAAUCGCAUGGCCUUGCGCUGGCGAUGGUUCAUUCAAAUUUCUGCCCUAUCAACUUUCGAUGGUAGGAUAGUGGCCUACCAUGGUUUCAACGGGUAACGGGGAAUUAGGGUUCUAUUCCGGAGAGGGAGCCUGAGAAACGGCUACCACAUCCAAGGAAGGCAGCAGGCGCGCAAAUUACCCAAUCCCGACACGGGGAGGUAGUGACAAUAAAUACUGAUACAGGGCUCUUUUGGGUCUUGUAAUUGGAAUGAGUACAAUUUAAAUCCCUUAACGAGGAACAAUUGGAGGGCAAGUCUGGUGCCAGCAGCCGCGGUAAUUCCAGCUCCAACAGCGUAUAUUAAAGUUGUUGCAGUUAAAAAGCUCGUAGUUGAACCUCGGGUCUGGCUGGCCGGUCCGCCUCACCGCGUGCACUGGUCCGGCCGGAUCUUUCCUUCUGGCUAGCCGCAUGCCCUUCACUGGGUGUGUCGGGGAACCAGGACUUUUACUUUGAAAAAAUUAGAGUGUUCAAAGCAGGCAUAUGCUCGAAUACAUUAGCAUGGAAUAAUAGAAUAGGACGUGCGGUUCUAUUUUGUUGGUUUCUAGGACCGCCGUAAUGAUUAAUAGGGAUAGUCGGGGGCAUCAGUAUUCAAUUGUCAGAGGUGAAAUUCUUGGAUUUAUUGAAGACUAACUACUGCGAAAGCAUUUGCCAAGGAUGUUUUCAUUAAUCAGUGAACGAAAGUUAGGGGAUCGAAGACGAUCAGAUACCGUCGUAGUCUUAACCAUAAACUAUGCCGACUAGGGAUCGGGCGAUGUUCUUUUUCUGACUCGCUCGGCNCCUUACNAGAAAUCAAAGUCUUUGGGUUCUGGGGGGAGUAUGGUCGCAAGGCUGAAACUUAAAGGAAUUGACGGAAGGGCACCACCAGGAGUGGAGCCUGCGGCUUAAUUUGACUCAACACGGGGAAACUCACCAGGUCCAGACACAUUAAGGAUUGACAGAUUGAGAGCUCUUUCUUGAUCAUGUGGGUGGUGGUGCAUGGCCGUUCUUAGUUGGUGGAGUGAUUUGUCUGCUUAAUUGCGAUAACGAACGAGACCUUAACCUGCUAAAUAGCCCGGCCCGCAUUUCGCGGGCCGCUGGCUUCUUAGAGGGACUAUUGGCUCAAGCCGAUGGAAGUUUGAGGCAAUAACAGGUCUGUGAUGCA
rnacentral:rRNA from 1 species